GAGAAAGAAUGAAACUGCUUGUGCAAAAAGAAAUUUCUGCAUAAGGCUCUGAACCUAGGAGAGGUCGUGUGACUCAUACUCAGGCCGGUGUCUCAUUUCUCUUUCCAAAUCAUGGAAACAACCUAAGCCCUAACACAGAAACACUACCCAAUAAAUGAAGGCUUUAAAUGGGUCUGAAGAUGGGUGACUGGCCUGGGUGGCUCAGUCGGUUAAGUGUCCAACUUCGGCUCAGGUCAUGAUCUCAUGAUCUGUGAGUUUGAGCCAUGCGUCGGGCUCUGUGCUGACAGCUCAGAGUCUGUGUCUCCCUCUCUCUCUGCCCCAAGCCCGCUCAUGCUCUGUCUCUGUCUCAAAAAUAGAUAAAAACAAUAAAAAAAAAUUAAAAGUAAAUAAAUAAAUGGGUCUGAAGAGAGACUCAGGAGACUUUUCAAGAUUACACGAAACUCAAGAUGAAUAUUUUGCCACGCCCACUACAUUCGGUGUGUAAUUUUCUUCCCAGUUCCCCACCUGCUUCCCUCCGACCCUACCUGAAACAAACCUUCCUGUUAGAAAUAAAAAGCAAACGCUCCAGUAUACGCAACAUGACGAGAAUACUGGCUUAUUUCAGAGCAAACUCUUAAGUGAUAUCCAGUAGUCUCAGGUACGACCCACAUUAUACUCCUAGAAGGAGGCGACACUAGAUUUAGUACGUGGGGGUUCAGCUCAUGGUUCUCCAGCAAAGCCCUCAGAGUUACCACUGAAGGAGUAACUACUUCAAGUACAUCAGAUAUGCACACAAGGGCAAGAGUGGACACCCUUAACUUCAGGGGAUUCAAGGCGGCCUGUCCCAAGUCGGGAUACUGGGCACGUGGGAAGAAAACCAGGUGUCAAGCCAACCGGGCUGAGCUCCCCAUGGUCCCCGCAGACGGCCUCGGACAUCACCCGGGUGCUCGCCCACGGCCACGUUAGUGAAUGCUGCCAGGACUGUGGUUUCUAUGAAACAUAAUCAAUAGAGCAGAGGGGGGGGGGGGGAAACCGCACCCGGUUCAGAGCACUUUCUGUUCCUUCCCACACUAUGCAUGAAGGCAGCACGGGCAGGAUCAUGUAAGAGAGAAGAGACCUGAUGGGAUGACACAGGCAGAGCUGCGGACAUUUUGGAGGAGGGAAUUCCAUUUCAGGAACCUCUAGAAUAUUGAUGCCAGGAGAUGGAAACACGUGCAGGGGGUCCCCAACACCCAGACACGAUUCUGGACUCCGAAGUCUCCAGGAAAUGACAAACAUGGUAUUUCUCCAUCUUGAUCUCUUUAUUUGCAGAGAUUGAAAAGAAAAAAAAAAAGACAACUAGGGGCACCUGGGUGGCUCAGUCGAGCGUCCGACUUUGGCUCAGGUCAUGAUCCUGUGGUUCGCGAGUUCGAUCGAGACCCACGUCCGGCUCUGUGCUGACAGCUCAGAGCCUGGAGCUUGCCUCCCUCUCUCUCUGCCCCCCCCCCUCUCGUGCUCUCUCUCUCUCUCAAAAAUAAAUAAAAACAUUAUUAUUUUAAAAAAAAAAGACAACAAGAAAGAGGCCAACUUUAAAACAGACCGUUUUUUUUUUUAACAAAACAAAACACACGAACUAAAAAGAUGGGACACGCUAGCCUCCAAAAGCACAAAGCUUCCUCGCCCCNCCCCCCGCCAUCACCGGAAGUAGUUCAGCGAUAAUGUGGGACCUAACGCACAGACGCACUCACCUAGCGUGUCCUUCAGGUUCUUCACGAGGGAACCCUUCUUCAGGCUGUUCUUCCUCUCCACGUAGUUGGACGGCACGUAGCCCGUCCUGUUGGCCGCGUUCCUCACGCGCCACCACGUCUUGGAGUCGUCCAGCAGCCACAGACGCUCGUUUUUCUUGAUGUCCAGCUCCUGGUCCUGUUGGGCAGUGUAGUCCCACUUUGCUAUCACAAUAACUUCCUCUGUCAUCUUUCAUGGAGUCCUUCUGCCAGCAAAACAUUUGGAGAUGCUCAUUAGAGAACCAACCAAACACUUCGUCCUGCGCAUCAACUUGAGAAAUUAUGCACUGACAGCUUUUAUUACUACUUGGCAACCAGUUUUCUCCUGGGUCUUGGAAUAACCUUAAAAUGACCUUCUUUCAACAAGCUUUGGUAUUUUGUUUAGAAACAGCAACCCUAAUAAAACAAACCCUGAUUUUGUACAUUGGGAAAUCUGCGUGCUCUGCCAGAAGCAAAAACAAACUUUCAAAAAAUUCUAAAUAACAAUGCCAUAAUUAAAUGCGUUCACUUGAUUAAGUAACAGCAGCUCCUUGUAGCUAAUAUGUUUACAUCCACUUUCUCAAGAUACGCUGAAUUUUAUGAACAUAUUUAAUGAACACGCACACCCAAACUGUUCUUAUAAAUUAAAGCCGAAAGCAAUGUGGCAUCCUGGACUGGCUCCUAAAACACAAAAAGGAAAUUAGUAGGAACGAUGGUGAAAUCUGAAUGAAGUCGAGUCAACAGUAACAUACCAAU
rnacentral:lncRNA from 1 species